UCACCGCUGGCUGAGGAUGGAGACUUGGGGUUUGCCAGAUCCCUCUUUCCACCCCUUUGUCCGUGACCCCUCCCUCCUCAUGCGGGGGCGGGGCACCAGGAAGCCCCAGUCCGAAGGUGCCCAAACCCCGGAUUAAUAGAAGUUGGCCGGGUGGUUAACUGACCUGAAUCCCUGCGGCACCCCUCUCUGGGGGAGGGUCCCAAGGUAGCACUCCUAGUGCCCUACCGUGAACGGUGGGGGUGAUGGGAGGAGGUGAGGUGGAUAGAGGGAGGCAGACCUCCUUUUCUCUCCGGGUCCCACCGCCACCGCUCCCGCCGCCGCCGAGGGAGGUAUUGUGCCCGCGGACGCCAGUCCCUACCUUACAGCCUUUCGUGCAGGACCGGAUUGAGUACUCUUCUGCCUGAGAGGAAACAAAUAGAAGCAAUAGAGGUUUAUUGGUCUGGAAGGUACUUCAUCUGAAGAAUAGGUGUUUCCACUCUCCUCCUAGAGCCAAGAGACAUUCCUGCUGGUCUUGACCACAAGAAGCCAAUGGAUCCUGCCAUCCUUGACCACAGAGCUCCCAGUCAAGGAAGUCCUGAGCCUCAGCUUCAAGUGGACCUCAUGGACACCAGCAUCCUGGGAGGUCAAGAAACAGCCAAGACUUUGUGGGUGACCUGCAGAAGAAGCUUGGUGUCCUUCACCACAGAACUGCAUGUGUUCCUGGCCCAGGACGCACUGAAGCUCAAGAUCUGCGGAGCUGGGAGUGCUGUUGGCCUGACAGCUGCCCCAUGCCAGCAAGGUGAGCCAGCAGAGUGAUAACAACAUAGGCCAGCUUCAGCAGCACCUCUUCAUCAACCUGCAGAGAGCAAUGGCUGAUGCUGCAUUUCUGCCUUCCAAAUCUGUGUGAAUUCGUCUUGUAGCCAACCCUUAGCCUGGAACCAUACAAAGAAGGGAAUUCUGAGGAAGGGGAAGGGGAUUUCUGAAUUACAUAAAAGAGGAUUCUGGGUCUCUCUUACCUUGUCCUCACCCAGAAAGAGAAGAGAGUUUUGCCCUUUGAUAACAUCUGUGAG